rnacentral:rRNA from 1 species
UACGUAGGGUGCGAGCGUUGUCCGGAUUUAUUGGGCGUAAAGAGCUCGUAGGCGGUUCGGUAAGUCGGGUGUGAAACCUCCAGGCUCAACCUGGAGAGGCCACCUGAUACUGCUGUGACUCGAGUCCGGUAGGGGAGCGUGGAAUUCCUGGUGUAGCGGUGAAAUGCGCAGAUAUCAGGAGGAACACCAGCGGCGAAGGCGGCGCUCUGGGCCGGAACUGACGCUGAGGAGCGAAAGCGUGGGUAGCAAACAGG